AUUGAACGCUGGCGGCAUGCCUUACACAUGCAAGUCGAACGGUAACAGGUCUUCGGAUGCUGACGAGUGGCGAACGGGUGAGUAAUACAUCGGAACGUGCCUAGUAGUGGGGGAUAACUACUCGAAAGAGUGGCUAAUACCGCAUGAGAUCUACGGAUGAAAGCAGGGGAUCGCAAGACCUUGUGCUACUAGAGCGGCCGAUGGCAGAGUAGGUAGUUGGUGGGAUAAAAGCUUACCAAGCCGACGAUCUGUAGCUGGUCUGAGAGGACGAUCAGCCACACUGGGACUGAGAAACGGCCCGGACUCCUACGGGAGGCAGCAGUGGGGAAUUUUGGACAAUGGGCGCAAGCCUGAUCCAGCAAUGCCGCGUGCAGGAUGAAGGCCUUCGGGUUGUAAACUGCUUUUGUACGGAACGAAAAGCCCUGGGUUAAUACCCUGGGGUCAUGACGGUACCGUAAGAAUAAGCACCGGCUAACUACGUGCCAGCCGCCGCCGUAAUAC
rnacentral:rRNA from 1 species